rnacentral:rRNA from 1 species
CCCUUAGAUGCUCUGGGCCGCACGCGCGCUACACUGGUCGAUGCAACGAGUUUCUUUCCUUGGCCGACAGGCCUGGGCAAUCUUUGAACAUCGAUCGUGAUCGGGAUAGAUUCUUGUAAUUUUUGAUCUUAAACGAGGAAUUCCUAGUAAACGCAAGUCAUCAGCUUGCAUUGAUUACGUCCCUGCCCUUUGUACACACCGCCCGUCGCACCUACCGAUUGAAUGGUCCGGUGAAGCCUCCGGAUUGCACAGGCCCCGUGUCUGGCGCGAGAAGUUGGCUAAACCUUACCAUUUAGAGGAAGGUGAAGUCGUAACA